GCAAGCGUUGUCCGGAAUCAUUGGGCGUAAAGAGCGUGUAGGCGGCCCGAUAAGUCCGUUGUGAAAGUCGAGGGCUCAACCCUCGAAUGCCGGCGGAUACUGUCGGGCUAGAGUCCGGAAGAGGCGAGUGGAAUUCCUGGUGUAGCGGUGAAAUGCGCAGAUAUCAGGAGGAACACCGAUGGCGAAGGCAGCACGCUGGGACGGUACUGACGCUGAGACGCGAAAGCGUGGGGAGCAAACAGG
rnacentral:rRNA from 1 species